GUGCCAGCCGCCGCGGUAAUACAGAGGGGGCAAGCGUUGUUCGGAAUUACUGGGCGUAAAGGGCGCGUAGGCGGCCAACUAAGUCGGACGUGAAAUCCCCGGGCUCAACCCGGGAACUGCGUCCGAUACUGGAUGGCUUGAAUCCGGGAGAGGGAUGUGGAAUUCCAGGUGUAGCGGUGAAAUGCGUAGAUAUCUGGAGGAACACCGGUGGCGAAGGCGGCAUCCUGGACCGGUAUUGACGCUGAGGCGCGAAAGCCAGGGGAGCAAACGGGAUUAGAUACCCCUGUAGUCC
rnacentral:rRNA from 1 species